rnacentral:tRNA from 1 species
AGCGGGGUGGGGUAGUCAGGAAAUCUUUCGGAAUCUGAGAUUCCUCAGAUUUCAGGUAAGACCUGAAAUCCCGACGGGCUCAUAACCCGUAGAUCAGUAGUUCAAAUCUACUCCCCGCUACCA